UCAAGAUUUUAACAUCUCAUU
rnacentral:piRNA from 1 species